CAACUUUCAACAACGGAUCUCUUGGUUCUCCCAUCGAUGAAGAACGCAGCGAAAUGCGAUAAGUAAUGUGAAUUGCAGAAUCCAGUGAAUCAUCGAAUCUUUGAACGCACCUUGCGCCCUUUGGCAUUCCAAAGGGCAUGCCUGUUUGAGUGUCAUUU
rnacentral:rRNA from 1 species